UCACCUACGGGGGGCAGCAGUGAGGAAUAUUGGUCAAUGGACGAGAGUCUGAACCAGCCAAGUAGCGUGAAGGAUGACUGCCCUAUGGGUUGUAAACUUCUUUUAUAUGGGAAUAAAACGUUCCACGUGUGGGAUUUUGUAUGUACCAUAUGAAUAAGGAUCGGCUAACUCCGUGCCAGCAGCCGCGGUAAUACGGAGGAUCCGAGCGUUAUCCGGAUUUAUUGGGUUUAAAGGGAGCGUAGGUGGAUUGUUAAGUCAGCGGUCAAAGCCCGGGGCUCAACCCCGGCCCGCCGUUGAAACUGGCC
rnacentral:rRNA from 1 species